GGCAGCCCGGGCGCGCCGCCACCUCCUGCCUCGCCCUCUCGGCCUGCGCUGGCAGGCUCGGGGCAGUCGGUGUAGUGCUGCUCAAGUCUGGACGCAUUAACGGCCCUUUGUGGCUAGAGCAGGGGCGCAGGCAUCAGCCCCGCGUUAUAAGCGGCGUGUGGUUACCCGUGAGGCGGGCAUGAGACUGUGCGUGCAGACCUUCAGCUACAGUCACUUCAACCAUUCCUAGAAAUGCUGCAACGGAGACCAAACAGGACGCGUUCAAGUGCUGACACAUACUCCAAGCAGUCACUUUGAAAGAGUAGAGACACAGCAGGAUCCACCAGCCUUGAGACACAGGAGUCCCCGCAGCCCACUGCAGCACCCACUCUUUCUUCCAAAGCAGGAGUGCAACGCUUCACCUAGACAGUGAUGUGCAAGGCAAGAAAGAGCAGAGGCUAUGGGAAAUAAGGGGAGCGAGACAUGACCCCACAGCAGUCAGGCUGCUGUUGCAGCAGAUCACAGAGCUGCGCUCCAGCAAAGCCCCGAGGAAGAAUGGAUUGGUAGCCAGUCUUGUGUGUAACUGAAGGGCUAAGAAACCCUGGGACUGUGCCCACAUCACUGUCAAAAGCACCAUCAGACCUGCAAUUGUGGGGCUUUCCCUUUGCAUGCAGGAAGAUAAUCAGCUCUCCUUUCAUCACUGCCCCUGUCCACAAAAGAGGCAUCUUUAAGGCUCUCAUAUCCCAGACAGAAUCCUGCUGGUGGGGAAAAUAGUAAAAAUGGGUCAUCUUCAUGAUAGCCUUUCCAAACAGAAACAAAGCCCUAUAGCCUAGCCUUGCAAAUAUAUAACCUAUAUACUAAAAAUACAACUUGUAUCUAAAUAUACACAUUUAUAUGUGUUUAAAA